UUUGUCUCCACGUCGACGUGCAUAGUUUUUUCUUCUUCUACAUACUCUACAAAAUCGCGAGCUGAUGAAAGCAGGCCGGUGCAAUGGCGUUGAAACGCAUGGCGUCCAAUGUGUUACGUGCGGCACCGUGAGAGGCAGAUCGAGCCAAGCAACAAGAUACCAACCGCACGGCACACGCGCCGUCCAGCCAUGGAGCUGAAGCUUAAAUUGGCACGGCGCCGUCCAGGUCCAGUCACGAUCGUAGCUACCCUUCUAGUACUGGUGUAGAGAAGAGAACCGCCGGUACGUGGCGUCGUCUCGUCAGCGCCCAUGUGGAGGCGCCCCAGUAACCGCUAACAGCUCCUUCCCAGUUCUAUAUUCAACCGAGCCGUCCAAUGCCGAAGAAUCGACGGGAGAAAUGAUAAAACAAG
rnacentral:lncRNA from 1 species